rnacentral:sRNA from 1 species
CUAUAGCUUCAGUACCAGGCCAAUUGGACUGUGGUCGCUGAAUGAUACAUCAGGAAGAAUGUAUGAAUCAUGAACCUUGUCGGUAAUAGAUUCCGACGCAAGAAAGUAAUCUAAUCGCCAACCUGUUAGAUGAAGCAAAAAUGAUUUUCACCCCAGAAGGUAUAGCCGACAGCAUUAGGGUGCUGUUUUCUGAAAGUAUCCACAAGGCCUUUGCUAGAAAAGUUUGUCUCAAAUGACUCUCUCUCUUCAAUUGUGAAACCUGCAGACUUGUUACUCACUGGAGGAUUGUGAAUGUCAAUGCUUUGACGAGCACAGUUAAGGUCUCCUGCAACAAUCACUGGUUUCGACUUUUCCAGUAUCUGCAGAUCAAAAGGUAUAAAUCAGCUUAGAUUACAUAUCUUACCAGUCUACGUAGAAAACGACCAGAAUUUGGAACAUAGGCAUUUACCAAGUAAAAACCAUCAAACUCCAGAGUAAUAACCCUGCCCUCAUGAUCAUGUUCACGUAUGCCAAUCCCGUAUUGGACAGAAAUUGGUUUAACCUGUAAAGGCAAUGGAAGCACAACAUAAGUCAUGCUAUGAUCUAAUUUUCAUCAAAAUAUUUUAUCUAUCUAGAAUUAAGUCUUAUGGCAGAAACACCAAGACUUGCCUCCAAAUGUGUCUCUUGAAGACAUAACACAUCAAAAUUCUCUCUCUGAGCCAAGUCACGUGCAGAAAACCCCUUUGUCGUUACAACAUCAUGAAGCCCGUUAAUAUUCCAGGAUAAAAUCUUCAUGCACUUGGUAUCAUGGCUAAGUGGUGGAGGCCUCAUGGUCUUUGGAUUGUAUGCAAACCACUCGGGUAAUCUCUCUCUGUGUACAAGUUUAGUCCAGGGCUC